UACAGAGGUCCCAAGCGUUGUUCGGAUUCACUGGGCGUAAAGGGUGCGUAGGCGGUCGGGUAAGUCUGACGUGAAAUCUUCAAGCUCAACUUGGAAACUGCGUCGGAUACUAUUCGGCUAGAGGAAUGGAGGGGAGACUGGAAUACUUGGUGUAGCAGUGAAAUGCGUAGAUAUCAAGUGGAACACCAGUGGCGAAGGCGGCUCGCUGGACCGGUUCUGACGCUGAUGCGCGAAAGCGUGGGGAGCAAACGGG
rnacentral:rRNA from 1 species